AGCCAUGUAGCUCAGUUGGUAGAAUAUCAGACUCUUAAUCAAGUGAUCAUGGGUUCAAUACCUGUCCAGGCCA